CGCUCCGGCGCGGAGGUGGCGUCCGUGCGCAGUGUGCGCGGGCCGGAUAAGGGCGGCCCGCAGUUAGUCGCUGCCACUCAGAGGUGCGGGGCCGGUGCACCCCGCUGCCCUGCGCGUGAUAAAGCGGAGGUGGCUGCUCUGGCCGCGAUACUUCGCUGUGUCGGAGGCACGGGGAGCCGCCCGGCUGGGCUCCUUCCCCUCACGUCCCACCUCUCUUGCCUCGGAACAACUCCUUGGGAGUAAGCACAGAAGGGAAAGGUGGCUGACAGGAGCCCCGGGGCAGCGCGAGUUCCCCUGCCCGCACGGCACCUCGGGCUCUGCGCGGAGCUGGGCGUCAGGCGCCGCUGAAGGGCGUGGGGCUGUCCCCAGGGGCCUGGGCUGACCCCGUGCCUGAGGGCCAGUGUGGCUUCACACCACGUACCGUACAGCGUGCUGCUAACGUGGUGAUAACGCGGGCUUCGGGGUGUAAACAAGGCCUCUGCGGAUUUGUCACAACAGCCAGCGCCACUGUUAAUGGCAAGGAACAAAAGCUUGCAGCGUGAGAUCCUGAAGUGACUGCCAGCAAUUUUGUUGUUUCUAAGAAACGGCAUGAGCGCCAACAGUCUGAUUUGGGCAUGUGGAUUCCUUCAGGAAACAAAAGGGAAGCAAGCAGAUAGAAGUACUACUUUCCAACCUAUUCAUUCUUUAUGCAAGAUUUAUAGGAGAACCACAAAGUCUGGGAAAAACGGUGUUCUGUACAGUUAAAGAAAUAUCUUAGACUGGGCUAUUCAAAGGGAUUGACCCAUUCUGCUCUGCCUGCUGCAGCUUCAUCUCAAGCCUGUGUGUCAGUAUGGGCACCACAAUAUCAGAGCUAUCAGAGGGCAGCCAAAGGAGGGCUACGGAGAUGAAGAAUGAUCUGAGGGCAAGGUGUAUGAGGGGCAGCUGAGGUCCUUGUUCAGUCCAGAGGGGAGGAGGCUGGGGGGAGGCCUCAUGGCAACAUACAGCUCCUUACAGUGGGGCGAGGGGAGGCGCUGAGCUCUGCUCUCUAGUGACAGCCACCUCGUACCAGAGGGAAUGGCAUGGAGUUAGGGACAGGUUUUGCACCAGGGGGUGUUGGGGCCCUAGAGCAGGCUCCCAAGGGCAGUGGUCACGGCUCUAAGGUGCCAGAGGUCAGAGUGUGUGGACAGUGCUUUCAGAGGAGUUGGACUCAACGAUCUUUGUGGGUCGCUUUCAACUCUGGAUAUUCUAUGAUUCUUCGAUCUUCUUUUCGCUGAUAAUACAACUUCUGGAAACUGAAGUAGUUGGAGUUUUUGCACACUGCAGUUGUAACGGGAGGUGAGAUCUGCAGACUGGCAAGGUCCAUCAUGAGCAGUAAAUCUUGCAGUUUUCAGAUGUGCAGAAUUCAAUAAAUACUGUUUUAUGUUCAUCAACUAAAGAUUACAUUUAAGGAAAACUGUAGUCUUGCUUCUGUUCCAAGCCCAAAAUUAGGUACUAACUUACUCUAACAGACUACUUCUAUGAUCCUUCAGAGUCUGCUGUGAGACAGCUGGGGAGCGAGAUGCUGCCAGGACAAGAGACGGGACAAGAAGAGUGAGGAGAAGAGAGCAUCUUGUGAUGUGUGAACAGUUUCAUCUUUCCCUCUGACCAGAAAAUGGUAACAGAACAGCAAAGUCCUCUGGGGAAUGUAGUUCUCUUCAGAGAACCAGGUACCCGGAACUGUCCACGAUCCACAGAACUGGAGCAUUAACUCUCUUUAACUCCCAGUACACUGCAUGAUGUUGUGAUGUGGAAUACCAAUAACCAAAAAUCAUAAAACCAUGACAUUGAGGAACUUUUCAUUGGAUUCAGCACUGCAUUCUCAGCUCCAUAGAAGAAGUGAAGGAAACAGCAGCAUUUAUAUAUCUCUCUAUCUGUUAUUCAUCCUUGAGGCACUGGGUAACCAACAAUAAAUUUACUACUUUUUCAUUAAAUGGACAAUGAGUUUUGGAAAAAGAAAUUCAGACUAUGGAAGAUAACGUCAGUGUCAUUCUCUGUAGAAGCAAGAUCAAUGUUCAGCCCAUGUGUUUUCACUGACCAAACACCACUGACCUCUACACCUCUAUAAUAAUUUGAAUUCAGUGGCCAACUUCAAGUGUAUCAUCAAAGACUGUUAAAUUCCUACAAACUUUGAGAAAAUAGAUGGCAAAUUAUAGUAGAAACCUUCUGAAGAUGUCUUCUGGAAGGGCUACAGAAAGAAGGAAAAGCUACAUCAUUGAAUUGCACGUUAUUAACCACUGAAGAAUGGGGAGCAGAGAGAGAAAGAAACAUUAAACAGGAAGCCAGCCAGAAUAAAAAUUUGGCCCCAUACACAGUAAAGAGUCUGCUCUUCUUGUGUUCUUCAAAAAGUGUAAAUAUUUUCAGGACAAGUAUUAGCAAAUAAGAUUUUUUCAGGAUGCCACUAUCACACCAUUAUAACUUGUCAGUUGCUUUGUCUCCUGCGCUCCUAUGGACUGUUCUAUACCAAUGGGAAUCAUCCUGUGACUUAAGAUCUUCAAUUUUCAUGUGGAUCAUUUAAGUCUCAUGUAAGACUAUAAUUUCAUGUAAUCAAACUGCCUAAAGUAGAGAGAACACAUCUUGUCUGACUUAGACUUGUCUCCAAAUGAGUUCUGCAGAACGGUGCUUGAAAGGGCACAGUUAUACCCCCUUUUCUGUUUUGGCUUUGUCUGAUCUAUGUCUGCUGUUAACAGAUCCUAAGAAACUGUUCCAGAAACUUGGGUUAUCGUGACAUAUUCAAUAUCUUCAUAUACAAAAAGGUUGAUUAGACAGCAAGGUUGAAAUAAGCUUUUAUAAUAGCAAAAAAAAAAUUAAAAAAAAAAUUAAAUCAUUUGAUAAAUUUCCUGUUGUAGCUAUUUUCCACCAUGAAAUGAAAGUAAAGAUAUGAAUCAGUUCUUAGUGUUCAAAGUGGUUUAGCACUUCCUUUUAGAAAAGGCCCUGGUAUACUGUGUAAUUAUACUCAAAUGUUAUAUUAAAACUACCAUAAAUGAUAGAUUGGGAUAAUAUUACGAGAUUUUAGCAUUAAUAGUGAUUAGAUUUCCAGGUAAAAACUGUAGUGAUGUUUAGGGAAAUGAACAGCAACACUCACGGUGACUGAAUUAAAGGUGUGUCUAUAAGAGAAGUUAAUAUGAAGUUAGUAUGGUGUGCAUUUAUUAGUAUAGUAACUACUCUUCCCUAAUUCUCCACAGGUAUAUUUUAUUAGUAUGCAUUAAGGUUGCCUACACUGAGACUUCGUGCCACAGGACUAGUACACUGCAAAUUCUGACUCCUAAAUCUAGCACCAAAACUAUGAGAUAGAUCACCCUUAGAGCUUUGUAUGUGAGUUCUGCUGCCACCUCAGCUCAUUCCAGUGACUGCAACAACACGCUGUUUUGGAUAGGACAGCCACGCUCUGCUACUGCUCUGGAACUGUUAGCACUUCUCUAGAUCUUCCUGCAAUAGACAGGGGUCAUGUUACCAGCAUAAAAUAAUUUCAGUACUGGCUUCCAUCCGGGAAGAAUGCAAAUAUGAACAAAGGAAAAUUCCUGUAUUUCAGCUGUCAGUGUUAGCAUAAUCCAUCUGCAUUAUGUGUUUCCUCAUACAGUCAUCCGCAGGAAAAUUGUAUGUAGGAAAUGUAUGAAGUUCACAUUUAUUACAGGAGCAAAAUCAUGAUUUAACUCACAAUUAAGCAGAAAUUUAAGAGAAUGCAUGUCUAAAGGGAACUGAUGCUCAGAGAGAGGGUAAUUCAAGAAGAGUGGGGUUAAGAUAGGAAGAAAGAGUCCUGCAAGAAGUUGAACCGAGCGUUAGUCCGAGCUCUUGGCACCAAGCAUGCGGAGUCUUGUGUGACUCCUGACUGUGACAGCCAGCUGCCAUCACAUCUCAGUUACACCGUUAUUUCAGCUGCUGCAUGCUGGCGUUCUAGCAUGGCAAAGCAUUAACUUGUUUCAUCAAGGUGGGAGCAAAGCUGGGCGGCUUAUCCUUCUGUGACUUAGUGCCCAUUCUAGAGACCAGCAUUCAUUCUGUCACACAAGGAGUCAAGGAAAGAAUAAAGCACUUGAUUAAAAACCUCCUGUGUUCUACUUCAAAGAGCAUCAGCAGCGUUUCCCUUGAAACAGAUGAUGCCAUAGGGCCAAACUAGCAGUGUGGCACAUUGCAGAGCUUCCAGCCAGUGUUGCAACCCAAAAGGCAGCUCCAUCAAAAUAAUACUGAUUCAAACAGCCUAAAAGAAUAUCUUAAUUAAGCUGAAGGCCUCUUCUCCUCUCUGUGUGGCCCUGAAUUGAGAGGGCACAGUGGUAUCAUAAGCUACUUAGCAUUCUCCUUUUUCCCUUUCCCUCUCACUGUUAUACUCUCCCUGUAAUUAUCAAGCAGAUGUCAAGCUCUAACCUCCCGUUUUUCUUGUGGUUCUCCUGUACUGACAUUACGGUCUCUCCUCUAGAGAUAUAGAAACCACUCUGAAAUUAAAAGAUCUUUUUGAUUCUAUUUAUGGCUUACUUGGGGUGGUUUUGAUUCUGUUUCUGCUUUUUUGUUUUAGAACAUUUAUAAUAAUUUAAUCUUAGGCCAGUUUUUGUGGUCUGGUGCAAUGCCACAGAAUGCAAAGCGGUGCAAGCUUAUUACCUUUCAAUGUGAAUUCAUGAAUUGAAGGCACUCUAGGACAAGCAAGAUACAGUACUACAGCACUAACACAUGUGCUGGACCUUUUAAUUGGAAAGAAGAUCCACCUACACAGCUCCAUUUUCUACUUCAGAGGUAAGGGCCUGGUUUUUGUGUACUGUACACUUGUGAUCCAACAUUAUAUUACAGCAUCAUGUAUGUGCAGAGCGGUGUUUGCAUUUAGGCACAUGUGCAAAUCUGAUGUUUCUCACAGGAUUUUCAUUAGAAAUAGCAUACUUAGUAAAUAACUGAGGGGAGCCUGCUGUCUGGCUAACAGAAGUGGAAGAUGCUACAAUGGAGAUAGAGGUGUUCUGUAGAUGAAUAGGGGAAAAAAAAGGAAGUGAUAGAAGGUACUAAAGAUGCCCUUCUAGGCAGGUUGAUGAAGGCUGCUCUUUCUGUUGCUAAAAUGCAUUUGCAUUCUAAAGUUGAAUGAAUAUUAGAAAAAAGAAAGUUCAAAAAUAAAGAAGUCAAUGUUCUUCCUAAGUCCUAAUGAGAAAGUGAUUAUUACCUCUCUGCUGUGAUCUGCCCAUAAAGAACUGUGCAUACAUAACAAUGGUUUUGUUUUUAAAUAUCUUGUAGAAUGAGUUAAAAUAAAAGUAGUUUUCCUUGUGUCUGUUGAACAGGAGCAAGAAUUCUGUGGGAAUGGAUGAGGAAAAUAUUAUUUCCUAAUAUGCUUUUAACAACAUUUAACAUUUUCUAUUUUUUGUCUAAUUAAAAAAGAGGCAGGAUCUUUUUUUUCUAGCGCCUUUGGUGACAUCAUCUCCUGAGCUCCUCUGUAGAGAAAAUGAAGCCUGUCCUUUAUAGAUGUUUGAAGUUCUAUUAGCUUUUCCUGGAGCAUGUGUAAAUUCGUGGAGCAGAACUUCUUGAUUUAAACAGUUAAAUACAGUAUCAAGGUUAUCUGUGGAGUCUUUAAUUUCCAUAGAAGUUAAAGAAAUGGAAAUUAGCUGGUUUUGGCUCCCAUCAUAGAAUCAUAGAAUCAUUUGAAUUGGAAGGGACCCUUAAAGAUCACCUAGUCCAAGUCCCCUGCAAUGAACAGGGAUGCCCACAGCUGGAUGAGGUUGCUCAGAACCUGGUCCAGCCCGACCUUGAGUGUCUCCAGGGAUGGGGCAUCCUCCACAUAUCUGGGCAACCAGUUCAAGUACUUCACUUGACUUAUCUUUAAAAAAAAUAAAUACAUUUCAAUUCUCAGAGUAAGUGUGUUGUGUGUGUCCAAACUGCUGUUGUAUGAAAUGGAGAGUUGAUGCAGCUCUCCAGCUCAUCAGCUGAAGAGGGCACAUGCACUUCGUCAGCUGACAAGACUCUGGAUCCUACUGACUGUACUGAGAAUCUCUUCUUCAACUGUGAGGAGUUUCAUCCAGCUGACAGCUAAAUACCCACACAUCUAUUUAAAUAUAGUUGUUUUAAUCUGGAAGAUUAAUGGUGUGCAACCUCCCAGGUUUAUAUUUUAAUAGUUUAGACAGCCUCAAAACUCUGUUGUAUGUGUGACUCAGCAGGUUUUGCACUUCUCAUUUCCUCAACUCUAUCACUGCAUAGACAAAGCAGCUCUAAACAGAAUGAGCUUAUUAAAUCUUGCUGUUCUUUUUUCAAUGAAUCUAGUAUCUCCAUAUUAUAGAUAAGAUUUCAGUGUACAAUCGUAGCUAUUAUUUGAAGUCAAGAAACUUUGUGUUCCUUUAGAAAGGUGAUUUUUUCUGUUGCAUUUUUUCCUGCCAAGUGUCUAGGGAUAUGUCAUAUGAUUCUUGCACAAGUCUGUCUUCAUCAGGCUGUGACCAGUCUUGGCCACAGAAAGCUGUUUUGGAAACUACUGUGUGUUCUUUUUAUUACUAUGACAAAGUCACCUUGGAAAAAAAAAAAGCUUUUUUUUUUUUCCUUUAAGCUUGAUAGUAAUUUUUCUACCUUUGUGACAUCUAGUUUCCUCUUCUGAGUAAGUAGAACAUCCCCCAUUGUCCUAGAACUCAUGAAGUAAUAAUUACUAAAAUUAUAUGUUUCAUACAGAAAUUCAGCAUGUGCUUUUAAUAAGAUUUUGUGAGCUAUUUUAUCCAUCUAAAAUGAUACUAAAUGUCUAUAUUUGCACAGUUCUGUACAAUGGUUAAACUUUGUGAGAUUACCAGUAAUGUCCAUAGGAAAUCUACAGAUGGGAUUUCCAAGUUAAUCAGUAAACUGGAGCCCCCCAUCAUCUGGAUUGCUUUGCAAAUCACAGUCUACACAAUCCUGCACAAUAAUUUCAACAGAAAUCUGCUAGCUUCAAUAUGAGAACAGUUCUUAAAAGGAAAUCCAAGUUAUGCCUGUAUUUUAAGAUAAGGAUUCCAGCACUUUAAUCUUUUACCUUCCAUCUUCAACGGUCCAAGCAACAGUAUUUCUUCAUAAGUAAAAGAA